UACGUAGGGGCCAAGCGUUGUCCGGAUUUAUUGGGCGUAAAGAGCUCGUAGGCGGUUCGGCAAGUCAGCUGUGAAAUCUCCACGCUCAACGUGGAGGGGUCAGCUGAUACUGCUGUGACUUGAGUCCGGUAGGGGAGUGUGGAAUUCCCGGUGUAGCGGUGAAAUGCGCAGAUAUCGGGAGGAACACCGGUAGCGAAGGCGGCACUCUGGGCCGGUACUGACGCUGAGGAGCGAAAGCGUGGGGAGCAAACAGG
rnacentral:rRNA from 1 species